GGGAUUGGAUUUCCAGCACACCUCCUGUUCAUGUAAACGGAGCUCCGUUUUGUCGGAUUGUGAGCUAAAUGUGCCGCUUAUUCUGACAGUAUUAUAUGCUGCGGCAGUUGGCUCGUGCUCAUCCAUCAUACAAAGGUGGAAAUCUGUCCGAGUGUUGUCCGCAUCGGAGGGCGCCAAAGUGAUGGUUGUAUUGUUGCAACGGCUCCUGACGUUGUGAGGUCUCUAUAUGGCCCAAUUAGCUCGCACUCUGGUUGAAAGUCAUUAUGAAUGAAAUAGCAAGCCCGGCCCACUUCCAGAUUGACUAAACACUUGUACAUUACCGGGCCUAUGUCUUGUUGGGCUUAGCUUCAAUACGGAGAUCUGGAGAUCCUCCCGUACGUGUCAAACAUAUCACGUGAUAUAUAUGUCUUUUGUCCUGCAUUGAAUUGAGGUCAAAUGGUCUCUGCCUUUCCCUUGAAGCACAAGAAAGUAGUAAGUACGCAUGGGCAAUGGAAGCUGCCAAAUAUGUAUGCGGUCAUAUUGUGUCAAUCUCUACUAGAAUUGACACAUCCGUUGAACAAGGUUUCCUAGAAAAUGGAACAUCUUUUGUUCAUUUGCCAGGAUCCUUCCAUUUUCUCUACAAAUGUAAAGCAGUCAAACCAAAAUUGGCUUACUCACCAAGAAAUCAAAACCUAUAUAAGACCCAAUUCAACCAAAAGUGAUGCACCACAACAACUACACACAUUCUAAAGCAACUACUCUUUGUGUGAUAAAGAGUGUUGAGGGUUGGUGAUUCCAAAUAGUAUAAUUAAUUAAGAUAGGUAAGGGUAAGAAAGUGAUGAGCUGGUGCAACCCUUCAUCAGUCUUGAAGUUCUUAGCUUCCUUCUUAUUUGGCUCGGGUGAUGGUGGAACCAAAACAAGUGGGAGAAAGAGUAAUAAUAGUCUACUGGCACCCAAUCUUGGGCCAGAGGAAGCCAUAGCCGCUGCUUCAAAGCAUUUCUCUAGUAAAGUUUGUAUUGGUCAUUGACCGCAUGCUGCUGCAGUACUAUAUGUAGUCUGAAUUUGCUGUAUAAUUAUUUUUAUUUUUAUUUUUAGCAUUUGCUGUAUAAAUACUCUUUCCUUUACA